UUCUUCCACCUCAGCUCCUCAAGUAUCUGGGACUACAGGAUGGGCAACACUCCAGAUUCAGCCUCAGACAACCUCGGUUUCCGCUGUGCUGCAGAUGCAGGCCGGCCGCCAGGGGAGCUGUAAGCAGCCGGGUGGUGACAAGGAGAAAAGCCUUCUAGGGUCACUGUCAUUCCCUGGCCAUGUUGCAAACAGCACAAUUCCAAGCUCGAGAGCUUCAGCCUCAGGAAAGAACUUCCCCUUCCCUGUCUCCCAUCCCUCUGUGGCAGGCGCCUCUCACCAGGGCAGGAGAGGACUCAGCCUCCUGUGUUUUGGAGAAGGGGCCCAAUGUGUGUUGACGAUGACUGGGGGCCAGGUGUUUCUGUUAGAGGCCAAGUAUUAUUGACACAGGAUUGCAAACACACAAACAAUUGGAACAGAACACUCUGAAAGGCCAUUUGUUAAGCAUUUUAAAAUCUAUUCUCUCCCCCUUUCUCCCUGGAUGAUUCAGGAAGCUGACAUUGUUUCCUCAAGGCAGAAUUUUCCUGGUUCUGUUUUCUCAGCCAGUUGCUGUGGAAGGAGAAUGCUUUCUUCGUGGCCUCAUCUGUGGUUUCGUGUCCCUCUGAAGGAAACUAGUUUCCACUGUGUAACAGGCAGACAUGUAACUAUUUAAAGCACAGUUCAGUCCUAAAAGGGUCUGGGAGAACCAGAUGAUGUACUAGGUGAAGCAUUGCAUUGUGGGAAUCACAAAGCAAAUAGUACUCCAGAAAGACAAAUAUCAGAAGCUUCCUAUUCUUUUUUUUUUUUUUUUUUUGAGACAGGGUCUUUCUCUGUUGCCCAGGCUAGAGUGCAGUGGUGAUCACGGCUCACUCUAGCCUUGAACUCCUGGGCCCAAGCAAUUCUCCCACCUCAGCCUCCUGAGUAGCUGGGACUACAAGUGUGCACCACCAUGCCUGGCUAAUUUUUUGAAUUUUUAUAGUGAUGGGAUCUCACUCUGUUGCCCAGGGUGGUCUCGAACUCCUGGCCUCAAGCGAUCCUCCCACCUCGACCUCCCAAAGUGCUGGGAUUACAGGUGUGAGCCACCUCGCCUGGGCCCCCUUCUCCAUAUGCCUCCAAAAACAUGUCCCUGGAGAGUAGCCUGCUCCCACACUGUCACUGGAUGUCAUGGGGCCAAUAAAAUCUCCUGCAAUUGUGUAUCUCAGACAUUUGUGUGUCUUUGAUCCUCACCCUGUGACCCUAAGGGAAGAAAGCCUGAGUGUCAGUAACUCUGGGCCUCCCCUAAAGAGAAAUGGAGAUGGUGGCUCAUCUAGGAAGUAGAGGAGCAGGGGGUUCCUGGUUCUCAGGCCACGUGUGAUCUCUGCCCACCCAGGGCCUGCCCCAGCCUGCAGGUAUUGCUGUGUGGUGGGAACACCCACUUCCCUUGUGCACAGCCUUUGAGAGGGGAUCGUGGCCUCAGCUCCAGGGGUUCCUGGCCAGGGCCAAGUGCUCCUUCUGCAGAGGCCUGCACGCAUCUCACCCCUUUGACUUGUAUUUCCA
rnacentral:lncRNA from 1 species